rnacentral:misc_RNA from 1 species
GUCGUAACAAGGUUUCCGUAGGUGAACCUGCGGAAGGAUCAUUACCACACCUAAAAACUUUCCACGUGAACCGUUAUAACUAUGUUCUGUGCUUCGUCUUCUUGUAAGAUUUGAGGCUGAACGAAGGUGAGUCUGCGUCUAUUAUGGAUGCGGAUUUGCCGAUGUUAUUUUAAACACCUAUUACUUAAUACUGAACUAUACUCCGAAUACGAAAGUUUUUGGUUUUAACAAUUAACAACUUUCAGCAGUGGAUGUCUAGGCUC